UUCAGGGUUUCGGAUCCGGAGAGGGAGCCUGAGAAACGGCUACCACAUCCAAGGAAGGCAGCAGGCGCGCAAAUUACCCAAUCCCGACACGGGGAGGUAGUGACAAUAAAUACUGAUACGGGGCUCUUUUGGGUCUCGUAAUUGGAAUGAGUACAAUCUAAAUCCCUUAACGAGGAACAAUUGGAGGGCAAGUCUGGUGCCAGCAGCCGCGGUAAUUCCAGCUCCAAUAGCGUAUAUUAAAGUUGUUGCAGUUAAAAAGCUCGUAGUUGAACCUUGGGUCUGGCUGGCCGGUCCGCCUCACCGCGAGUACUGGUCCGGCUGGACCUUUCCUUCUGGGGAAUCUCAUGGCCUUCACUGGCUGUGGGGGGAACCAGGACUUUUACUGUGAAAAAAUUAGAGUGUUCAAAGCAGGCCUUUGCUCGAAUACAUUAGCAUGGAAUAAUAGAAUAGGACGUGCGGUUCUAUUUUGUUGGUUUCUAGGACCGCCGUAAUGAUUAAUAGGGAUAGUACGGGGGCGUCAGUAUUCAGCUGUCAGAGGUGAAUCUUAAAUUCAAACGCG
rnacentral:rRNA from 1 species